GAUGAACGCUGGCGGCGUGCCUAAUACAUGCAAGUCGAGCGAACGGACGAGAAGCUUGCUUCUCUGAUGUUAGCGGCGGACGGGUGAGUAACACGUGGAUAACCUACCUAUAAGACUGGGAUAACUUCGGGAAACCGGAGCUAAUACCGGAUGAUAUUUUGAACCGCAUGGUUCAAAAGUGAAAGACGGUCUUGCUGUCACUUAUAGAUGGAUCCGCGCUGCAUUAGCUAGUUGGUAAGGUAACGGCUUACCAAGGCAACGAUGCAUAGCCGACCUGAGAGGGUGGUCGGCCACACUGGAGCUGGGACACGGUCCAGGCUCCUGCGGGAGGCAGCAGAAGGGAAUCUUCCGCAGUAGGCGGAAGCCUGGCGGAGCGACGCCACGUGAGUGAUGAAGGUCUUCGGAUCGUAAAACUCUGUUAUUAGGGAAGAACAUAUGUGUAAGUAACUGUGCACAUCUUGACGGUACCUAAUCAGAAAGCCACGGCUAACUACGUG
rnacentral:rRNA from 1 species